rnacentral:lncRNA from 1 species
UGUCUGUACACCCUGAGUUCAGGGCCUUCUCUGUUGUGUUCUGCUCUUAGCUGGUACAAUUUUCCACUUUCUAAGCCUAGCCUCACUCACUUGUCACACUGUAUACCUUAUAUCUGGCACAUCACUCUGCUAGGACUGACUGCCUUCCACGCCAAUGUAAUAUGUGGGGAGUACGGUGUUGGGACAUUUUUUGAAGAUGAGGAACACUUGUGGAAGGACAAGUGAUUGGGAUGAAGCAGUGGGAAGGGUUGGAUCCCCCAAGCCCUUGUGACUUCUGGGCCCUGCUCUUUGCCCCAUUCAAGAUUCCCUGAAGACUGGGCUGGCUAGAGGCAGGAGGGAGGGAUACGGAGAUUGCCAGAAUCCCAGGCAGAGGGCACUGGGAUAAGGGCAUACCCAGUGGGGACAUGGGUAAGUAUGGCAGGAGUGGGACAAAGGUAGGGUCGAGGGGGGGCUGGCAGUGGGGGAGGGGGCCCUAGCCAACUAUGACCCAGUCCUUUGCCCUGCUUUGGUGCUGGGAAUCAAACUUGUAGACAAAUGCUAGACAAAUGUUCUGCCCCUGACCCAUGCUCCUACCUCCUCCAGCCCUUUGCCCUGAGAAGCCACUUGUCAGCUGAAUCAGGCCUGGACUUUGGUUCCUGGGGAUAUACCAGGUCAAUGUACCUUGUUUCUUGACAUGUCUGAAGACUGAAUGUGGGGGUGAAUAUUUGUAAUCCCAGCACUAUGAUAGUGGAGACAAGAGGAUCUGAUGUUCAAAGUCAUCUUGAAGUAAAUGGUGAGUUUGAAGCCAGCCUGGGAUGUAUAUAUGAUGCUCUACCUCUCAAAUAGCA